GGAUGGGUGGCCGAGUGGUCGAAGGCGCACCGCUGGAAACGGUGUGAAGGGUGAUGAGCUCUUCCGCGGGUUCGAAUCCCGCCCCAUCCG
rnacentral:tRNA from 1 species